rfam:Penicillium italicum strain PHI-1 contig2264, whole genome shotgun sequence.
UCCGAUGAUGAAACGGCACUGGGCUCCGACGGCAUUUAAACAAAAUGUCCGGUCAUGAUUGGAUGCGCCUUUUUUGCGGCAGGCCUAGAAAACCUCGCCCACUGAGA